rnacentral:rRNA from 1 species
GACGAACGCUGGCGGCGUGCUUAACACAUGCAAGUCGAACGGAAAGGCCCUGCUUUUGUGGGGUGCUCGAGUGGCGAACGGGUGAGUAACACGUGAGUAACCUGCCCUUGACUUUGGGAUAACUUCAGGAAACUGGUGCUAAUACCUGAUAGGAGCUCCUGCUGCAUGGUGGGGGUUGGAAAGUUUCGGCGGUUGGGGAUGGACACGCGGCUUAUCAGCUUGUUGGUGGGGUAGUGGCUUACCAAGGCUUUGACGGGUAGCCGGCCUGAGAGGGUGACCGGCCACAUUGGGACUGAGAUACGGCCCAGACUCCUACGGGAGGCAGCAGUGGGGAAUAUUGCACAAUGGGCGGAAGCCUGAUGCAGCAACGCCGCGUGCGGGAUGACGGCCUUCGGGUUGUAAACCGCUUUCGCCUAUGACGAAGCGUGAGUGACGGUAAUGGGUAAAGAAGCACCGGCUAACUACGUG